rnacentral:rRNA from 1 species
AACGAACGCUGGCGGCAUGCCUAACACAUGCAAGUCGAACGAGACCUUCGGGUCUAGUGGCGCACGGGUGCGUAACGCGUGGGAACCUGCCCUUAGACUCGGAAUAACUCCCUGAAAGGGGUGCUAAUACCGGAUAAUUUCUUCGGAUCAAAGAUUGAUCGUCUUUGGAUAAGCACGCGUUGUAUUAGCUAGUCGGUAGGGUAAAAGCCUAUGAAGGCUACGCUCGAUACCUGGUCUGAGAGGAUGGUCAGCCACACUGAGACUGAGAUACGGCGCAGACUCCUACAUGAGGCAGCAGAGGGGAAUCUUGGACAACCGUGUAGAGCCAGAUCCAGCAAUGCUGGGAGAGUGAUUAUGUCCUGAGAGAUGUAAAGCACUUUUACCCGGGAUGGUAAUGACAGUACCGGAAGAAUAAGCACCGGCUAACUCCGUG